UACGGGGGGGGUAAGCGUUGUUCGGAAUUACUGGGCGUAAAGGGCUCGUAGGCGGCCAACUAAGUCAUACGUGAAAUCCCUCAGCUUAACUGGGGAACUGCGUGUGAUACUGGAUGGCUUGGAUUUGGGAGAGGGAUGCGGAAUUCCAGGUGUAGCGGUGAAAUGCGUAGAUAUCUGGAGGAACACCGGUGGCGAAGGCGACAUCCUGGACCAAUAUUGACGCUGAGGAGCGAAAGCCAGGGGAGCAAACGGG
rnacentral:rRNA from 1 species